GACGUAGGGCGCGAGCGUUGUCCGGAUUUAUUGGGCGUAAAGAGCUCGUAGGCGGUUUGUCGCGUCGGAUGUGAAAACCCAGGGUUCAACCCUGGGCCUGCAUUCGAUACGGGCAAACUAGAGUAUGGCAGGGGAGACUGGAAUUCCUGGUGUAGCGGUGAAAUGCGCAGAUAUCAGGAGGAACACCGGUGGCGAAGGCGGGUCUCUGGGCCAAAACUGACGCUGAGGAGCGAAAGCGUGGGGAGCGAACAGG
rnacentral:rRNA from 1 species